AAAAAAAAAAAGAAUCUAUUCUGUGCCGCUGAUGUACAACAUGACAAAUUUGGGAUGCUUUUCUUGUCUUAUUUAUUAGCCUCUGCAAAUCUCUUGUAACAGCAAUAAUAGGGGGCUGCGUCAAGUUCAUCAAUCCUGGCCACAUCCUGGGAAAGGAAUUACAUUGUUCAAGUUGGCCUGAAACAGAAUUUCCAAUAAGGUCUCUUCCUCCUGUUACUAUAACCAUUUGGAGGAGAAGAAGAGUGAAUUAUCUCCCACAUAACUCGUAUAUCUGCGUAUUCCCCACAAGAUUCCAUGUCCUUGUAAAGAUUCAUAAGCCCUUCAUUUUUCCCUCUGGCCUUGGGUCUUAAACUUGAAGCCAGCUUCAGAAGCAUGCACUUAGCUGAGAAGAGAAACGUUUGCUCGAAGCAUGGCCAGGCCUUCCACCUUCCCAUCUUCACGUAAUUUGCUCAAUGCUCAUCACAUCCAUUCCAUUUUAUAUCAUCAUUUUUGGUUUUAUUUUUCUCAUCUUUCCCUCAUCCAAAAAAUUAAUACUAAACUAGCAACCAAGUGAAUCCG
rnacentral:misc_RNA from 1 species